rnacentral:rRNA from 1 species
CAGUCGCCGCGGUAAUACGAAGGUCCCGAGCGUUGUUCGGAAUCGCUGGGCGUAAAGGGAGCGUAGGCGGCGUGGUAAGUCAGAUGUGAAAUCCCGGGGCUCAACCCCGGAACUGCAUCCGAUACUGCCAUGCUAGAGGAUUGGAGAGGUAGCUGGAAUUCUUGGUGUAGCAGUGAAAUGCGUGGAGAUCAAGAGGAACACUCGUGGCGAAAGCGAGCUACUGGACAAUAACUGACGCUGAGGCUCGAAGGCCAGGGUAGCGAAAGGGAUUAGAUACCCCGGUAGUCCCUGUCUCUUAUAC